rnacentral:rRNA from 1 species
UAGUGAGUUUGAUCCUGGCUCAGAACGAACGCUGGCGGCAUGCCUAACACAUGCAAGUCGAACGAAGGCUUCGACCUUAGUGGCGCACGGGUGCGUAACGCGUGGGAAUCUGCCCUUGGGUUCGGAAUAACAGUUAGAAAUGACUGCUAAUACCGGAUGAUGUCUUCGGACCAAAGAUUUAUCGCCCAAGGAUGAGCCCGCGUCGGAUUAGCUAGUUGGUGAGGUAAAGGCUCACCAAGGCGACGAUCCGUAGCUGGUCUGAGAGGAUGAUCAGCCACACUGGGACUGAGACACGGCCCAGACUCCUAC